AAAAAACACUCCAAUGGCUCACACUUGUCUAUGCACAAGUCCAUCCUUGAACUCCCAGAGAAAGACAUCCAUUUAGGUAAGGCUAACAAGGCUUUAAAUUGAAAAGUAAUUUCAUAAAGUUUUACACAUCACAAGAUCCUUCCCCCCCCUCCAAUCAUAUCCCUAUAAAGAUCAACACCGUACAUGGUUGAACUCUUAUUCAGACCAUUCAGUAAAGUUCUGAUCUCCUUUUACAACUAUGGUUAUAAACUAAGCCAAGAUGAAGAAAAGCCCAAGCUUAUCCCAAACUUUCUUUGAUGUGCUCAAGCCUAUGCUCAAACCAAAUUGUUUUUAAAGCAUGUGUCCAAACUGAACGGCCCAAAUUAUUUGACCAGUAAUGUUCCCCCAUUUGCUUGUAAUCUCUCCUUGUUCCUAUAGCCUCAUGUUUAAAUUGACUUAAAAAAUGAAUUGCUUUGAUUCAGGCCAGUGUUGUCAAAGGUGCUUGAGGCACACAAGCGCAGUGAGGAAAUACCUCAGUGGCAGCUUCUUUAGACAAAUCAGGUGGGCCGCAUUUUGCUAGGCACUUGCUUAUCGCAUUUAGGCAAGUGCAUCUCAUAAGAAGAGAGACAUAAAAACCAGUGCCUCUUAAUUUUAACCAAUAAGUACCUGUUUUUUUUCAUUUAGAACAGGGAUAAAAUAGUCAACUAUGGAUUUAAUUUAUUUACUAAAUAAGACAUCUUAGAAUUAGGAGACUUUUCAGGAAACAUGUUUUCUUCUAUCACGGGAUGGCUGACAUAGGAUUUUUUAAGUUAAAAAAAGAAGCAAAAAGCUAUUAACAUAAACUGCCAUUCCUGCACCGGUUCAGAUGAGUAACAAAGACACAAUUUUUCUUUUUAACUAUUUCUUUUACCUUUAUCCCAUUUUAGUUGCUACCAUCUACUAUUUCCCCAUCUAUUAUCAUUAACAUACCAUUUUAAGGCUUUAUCUCUCUCGUGUUCUAUAUCAUCCAGAUAUUUUGUUUUUCUCUUUGCUCCUUCCCUUCCCUAUUUUAUUAUACAUCAACCUGAAUUUUACCUACACAACAUAAAUUUUCUCUCUCACUUCUUCUGUUUGAGCCUCGCUUUACUCGGGGUAUGCCUUUUUUGCGCCUUGUGCCUUAAGCUAAAAAGGACCUACCAACUUGAGUAUGCCUUUUACCUUUCCACUCACCAUGCUAUCAAGUGUUAAUAAUUUCAGUUGAUGCACUUGAAUUUUUGGAUUUUUAUGAUGAAGGAGCCACAAACUAGGUGGAGAGGACAGUAUCCGCAUAGCCAACCUCAACUAGUUUGGGAUUAAAACUUAAAUUUAAGCUGAGUUGAGUACUACAAUAUGGGACACAUGUGAGUUUCCUUUUAGCUACUGGUACUAAAGGUUUUCAAAUUGAUAAAAAGAAUUUAAAAAAAAUUAAAAAAAGAAAAAGGAUUUGAGCAUAAAUAUGCCAGUUACAACUCAACAUGCCAAAGAUAAAGCUGGACAACAUCUUCCAUCUUGCAAACCUACCUGAAUCCCCCUCAAAAUGACUUCUGCUAUUUCAAACUGAUUUUCAACUCUUGAGAUUUUGAGAAAUUUUUCUGUGCGACCUCAUGCAACCUUACAGGCAGUGCUUAUUUGGUUUACAGGUCAUGGUGAAUAAUUUAGAGUUAAAACAGCUACAAUUUUGUAAUUUUUUUUAUAUAGGCAUUUUUUUAAAAAAAAAGGGCAUAUCCAUAAU
rnacentral:misc_RNA from 1 species